rnacentral:lncRNA from 1 species
AUGUUGAAUGUUUAUAAUUAUUCAUAUUACUAUAUACUAAUCCUAGUGGUAUUUGGAAGAAAUUCUACCGUUGGAUAUUACUAAUCCGAAAUUGAUAAAAUUGAUAUUCACAAUGUGAAAAUGCUAUCGGAGUUCAAAUCCACGUGGAAUAUUCUAGUGUUGUAGCAUUUAGAAUUAUUUGCAUCUAUAUCCCUAUAAAAAAUAAAAUUAAAUAUUAACUCUUACAACAUUUUAUUUAUUAAAUACA